GUAUGCCAUUAAGAACGGUUUCUAAACACUUUUGACAUACAUACAUAUUUAACCGCGCCCCCUUUUAACCCGACCAAUCACAAACCCUGUCUUUUUAGUAGGCCUCCAAUGACUGCUUAAUAACUGUUGCUAUCCCUAUUACAUCAGUGGGCAGAAAUGAACCUAAUAACUUGAAGGAAAAAACGCACGCCAUGAAGACCGAAGAAUAUUGUCUUCUACACAAUGCAAAGACAGACAUCGUAAUCAUAAACAUCAACUUCCUGAAAACCCAGUUCAUCUGGCUUGCCAGGCUGUUUGUAAGGGCACAUGCCAACAUGCGCCUCACAAGAAUGUCUUGCGUGUGUCCUCCAGUGAUGGCAAAGUAAGACACCUGACAGGAGAAAAACAGAAGAUGACUAAUAAG